rnacentral:rRNA from 1 species
CUUCCUACGGGCGGCUGCAGUGGGGAAUAUUGGACAAUGGGGGCAACCCUGAUCCAGCCAUGCCGCGUGAGUGAUGAAGGCCCUAGGGUUGUAAAGCUCUUUUGUGCGGGAAGAUAAUGACGGUACCGCAAGAAUAAGCCCCGGCUAACUUCGUGCCAGCAGCCGCGGUAAUACGAAGGGGGCUAGCGUUGCUCGGAAUCACUGGGCGUAACGGGUGCGUAGGCGGGUCUUUAAGUCAGGGGUGAAAUCCUGGAGCUCAACUCCAGAACUGCCUUUGAUACUGAAGAUCUUGAGUUCGGGAGAGGUGAGUGGAACUGCGAGUGUAGAGGUGAAAUUCGUAGAUAUUCGCAAGAACACCAGUGGCGAAGGCGGCUCACUGGCCCGAUACUGACGCUGAGGCACGAAAGCGUGGGGAGCAAACAGGAUUAGAUACCCCUGUAGUCAU